rnacentral:tRNA from 1 species
GGUGGCUCAGCGGUAGAGUGCUUGCCUCGCAUGCAUGAGGCUCUGGGUUCAAUUCCUCAGCACCA